rnacentral:rRNA from 1 species
UACGGGGGGAGCAAGCGUUGUUCGGAUUUACUGGGCGUAAAGGGCGCGUAGGCGGCCCCACAAGUCACUUGUGAAAUCUCCGGGCUUAACUCGGAACGGCCAAGUGAAACUGUGGAGCUAGAGUGUGGAAGGGGCAAUCGGAAUUCUUGGUGUAGCGGUGAAAUGCGUAGAUAUCAAGAGGAACACCUGAGGUGAAGACGGGUUGCUGGGCCAACACUGACGCUGAGGCGCGAAAGCCAGGGGAGCAAACAGG